AUUGAACGCUGGCGGAAUGCUUUACACAUGCAAGUCGAACGGCAGCACGGGGGCAGCCCUGGUGGCGAGUGGCGAACGGGUGAGUAAUACAUCGGAACGUGCCCGGUCGUGGGGGAUAACGUAGCGAAAGUUACGCUAAUACCGCAUACGAUCUGAGGAUGAAAGCGGGGGACCUUCGGGCCUCGCGCGAUCGGAGCGGCCGAUGUCAGAUUAGGUAGUUGGUGGGGUAAAGGCCUACCAAGCCGACGAUCUGUAGCUGGUCUGAGAGGACGACCAGCCACACUGGGACUGAGACACGGCCCAGACUCCUACGGGAGGCAGCAGUGGGGAAUUUUGGACAAUGGGCGCAAGCCUGAUCCAACCAUUCCGCGUGCAGGACGAAGGCCUUCGGGUUGUAAACUGCUUUUGUACGGAACGAAAAGGCUCUGGCUAAUACCUGGGGCUCAUGACGGUACCGUAAGAAUAAGCACCGGCUAACUACGUG
rnacentral:rRNA from 1 species